rnacentral:rRNA from 1 species
UCGCGGAUCAGAGACGGAAUCCUUCAGUUCGGCUGGACCGGAGACAGGUGCUGCAUGGCUGUCGUCAGCUCGUGUCGUGAGAUGUUGGGUUAAGUCCCGCAACGAGCGCAACCCCCGUCCUUAGUUGCUACCAUUUAGUUGAGCACUCUAAGGAGACUGCCGGUGAUAAGCCGCGAGGAAGGUGGGGAUGACGUCAAGUCCUCAUGGCCCUUACGGGCUGGGCUACACACGUGCUACAAUGGCGGUGACAAUGGGACGCUAAGGGGCAACCCUUCGCAAAUCUCAAAAAGCCGUCUCAGUUCGGAUUGGGCUCUGCAACUCGAGCCCAUGAAGUUGGAAUCGCUAGUAAU